GCCCCCUCAGCGGCGGCCGGUGAACAGAAAGUCCGAAGCCCACCCUUUGCCGCGUCCCAAGUUGCGGUUCUCUUGACUUUCUGGGAGAUGCUAGAAUCGUGGUCAUAAAAAGAAUGGCGUCCAUUUACAUAAUGCUUUGUUCGCGUUUUGCAAGUUUUUUUUUUUUCGGUGAAACCCGCAGAAACUCCACCUGCUGCUUUUGGGGCGUUUGAACCACAGCAGCCUGUCAGACCGUGGGGACAAUAGUGUGCUGCUGUGGAGGCCGCGCGGGUGCCGACCCCGGCUUUGGAGAGUUCCUGCGGGUUUUCCCGCCGCUCCACGCUCCCGCCGCAGCCUCUCGACCCUGUUCCCCUCGGGGCGGCCCCCAGCGGAACCCGCCAUCUUGGAAGGCCUUUCCCUCCGACCUCCUCCGCCGAGGAAAUGUCGCUAGAGACGUUGAUCUCCGAGUUGUAAUUUCUGCCCUUUCCCCUUCCUCCGGCCGAGCCAGGCUACUAGAGGCCGGGCGCGCAACGGGCCUCAGGGUCCCUCCGGGAGGCGGCUAACGUGGCACUCCCCCGCUCCCUUCCCCACGGCGGCGGCCAUGUUUCUGGAACACAAAAUGGCGACACGUGGCCUGGAUUCGUUGCCAAAGAGAAAGUGGGGUCGGCUGGAAAGCUCUAGAAUGCACCCCCCACCCCCCCAAGGCCUUCCCCGCAUCGCGAGUUUUAUGCCGGCUGGAGAUAAAAUCCCGGGGACUGGUCUGACUCUGGGGGCGGGGUGGGGGUAGAGCGAAUUGUAAGCCCCCUCCAUUUAAUUAGAAACAGGAACGCGAGUAACUGAAAUGUAGGCUUAGUAUUGGGCCUCUCGCUCUUUUUGAAAUUGAUAAUGGAUGAUGGGGACAGUGCCAGAGGAUAAUUUGAACUGACCCCCAACACCACCACCACUAGAACAGUUAGAAAGCCCUGCUUUACGGAAUGAGAGGAUGACACUUAAAAAAACAAAGAGGUGAAGUGACUAAUUCAAGGUCACACAGUGUCGGGGAUGGAAUCCAGACCUCAUUUCUUUACUGACCUGCACUGUUUUGUGGAUACGUGAGUGAAUUCCACACUACCUGUUUUAUAGAUGAAGCCACUGAGAUACGGAACAACUGACUGAACAGUCACCGCCCCACCCUGGAGCUUCACAUGACUCUUCCUUCCACUUGAGGGACCACAGAUUCAUCAAGGGGGUUAACAAGGCUGGGAAGGUACUUUUCCUUGUAUUACAUGAAGGAAAUGAGAUACUAGAAUUCCAUCCCAGGCUACUGAAUGAGCUAGUAGCUAGGCCAAUCCCUCGGAACUAUACAGGAUAAAUAAAUCCAUCUUCCACAUUCCAAUCUUGUGAACCUUAGAAGACAAUCUUUCUAUUAUAAGAUAAUCUCAGCCUCUCUAUGACAGCUUCAGUUACCAUCUACACAUCGAUGAUUCCCAAAUCUUUCUCCAGACCAGAAUAUCCAUCUGCUCACAUGGACAUCACCAUGGAAUGUCUUACAGACAUUACAAAAUGCAGCCCUUCGUUUUUUCCCGCUUGCUCCUUCUCCAGUGUCCUGUCAUACACAUUAUAAAAAUAGCAUGCAGCAGCUGAAGCCCAAAUCUAGUAGCUAUUGGCUCAACUAGCUUAUCUUCGAAACACGUUUCCUGUACAGAAGCCUGUAGCAGUCAUGGAGCUCCUUUUAGUUGGGACAUGGCCUUGUAACACCGUGGUUAAGAAUAUGUCUCUAGACACAGCCUUUUGGGGCCUGAAUUCUCACUCAGUCAUUUACUAUCCGUGUGACUUUUGUGAGUGCAUACAUCCUAUGGCAAAAACCAAAAAAGAAGAAAAAAAGUCCUAAAAGAUUAUGAUGUCUUUUAAUCCUCAGUAUGUGCAAGAACAGUAUUAAAUGCAAAGUCAGUAUAAAGAAAUCCAGCAAAGUAUAAGGAAUAUGGAGGAAAAUUCUGAUUUUUACCAUGGUGGCUAUUUUGAUAAUAUAAAAUCUUUUAAAGUAUUUGUUGUUGUCUCUUCUUUGCCAGUUCUCUAAGCACUUGAUUUUAGGUAACCCUGCCUGGAUCAACCCUCCUUCACCCUAGACUUAACAUCAAGUUCCUCUAAGCACCACCUGCUGAAUCUACCAUCCAUCCUUCCCUC